GGGGCUGUAGCUCAGUUGGGAGAGCACAACACUGGCAGUGUUGGGGUCAGGGGUUCGACCCCCCUCAGCUCCACCA
rnacentral:tRNA from 1 species